UAAACGCGUGAGGAACCUGCCUUGGAUGGGGAUAACAGCCNGAAAUGGCUGCUAAUACCGCAUAAUGCAGUUGGGUCGCAUGGCUCUGACUGCCAAAGAUUUAUCGCUCUAAGAUGGCCUCGCGUCUGAUUAGUUUGUUGGCGGGGUAACGGCCCACCAAGACGACGAUCAGUAGCCGGACUGAGAGGUUGGCCGGCCACAUUGGGACUGAGACACGGCCCAGACUCCUACGGAAGGCAGCAG
rnacentral:rRNA from 1 species